rnacentral:rRNA from 1 species
UACAGAGGUCUCAAGCGUUGUUCGGAUUCAUUGGGCGUAAAGGGUGCGUAGGCGGCGCGGUAAGUCGGGUGUGAAAUCUCGGAGCUUAACUCCGAAACUGCAUUCGAUACUGCCGUGCUUGAGGACUGGAGAGGAGACUGGAAUUUACGGUGUAGCGGUGAAAUGCGUAGAUAUCGUAAGGAAGACCAGUGGCGAAGGCGAGUCUCUGGACAGUUCCUGACGCUGAGGCACGAAGGUCAGGGGAGCAAACGGG